GACGAACGCUGGCGGCGUGCUUAACACAUGCAAGUCGAGCGGUAAGGCCCUUUCGGGGGUACACGAGCGGCGAACGGGUGAGUAACACGUGGGUGACCUGCCCUCAGCUCUGGGAUAAGCCUGGGAAACCGGGUCUAAUACUGGAUAUGACUCCAUGACGCAUGUUGUGGGGUGGAAAGCCUUGUGCGGCUGAGGAUGGGCCCGCGGCCUAUCAGCUUGUUGGUGGGGUGANGGCCUACCAAGGCGACGACGGGUAGCCGGCCUGAGAGGGCGACCGGCCACACUGGGACUGAGACACGGCCCAGACUCCUACGGGAGGCAGCAGGUGGGGAAUCUUGCGCAAUGGGCGAAAGCCUGACGCAGCGACGCCGCGUGAGGGAUGACGGCCUGGU
rnacentral:rRNA from 1 species